rnacentral:lncRNA from 1 species
UUUGGAUAUACUAAAAAAUAUCCUAACCUUUGAUAGGAGCAUAUUUAUACGACUUAGUUAGCUUGUUUUCUUGCAUUUAAUUAGCUAAACUAUGUUAAUUAUAGUGUUUAAAGUUAUUUUCGGGCAAUUUCAGGUUUUAGUGUCAAAGUAUGCAAAAAGAAGCAAUUUGGAGCAUUCUAGAGCAUUUUUGGGCCAAGAUUGGAUAGUGCAAGCAUGGAGGCAUGAGGAUGGACGAAUUUGAAAGGCUUGAAUUCACUUAGGGAGCUGCAAGGGGGCCUAAAAACCUGAUUUCUAGAAGGCUACAUUAGUGCCACAUGUUUUUAGACCUUGUUCUUCUAGAAAUCAGCCAUAUAAGCAUUCCUUCUAGAAGGCUUUAUCUAUUCACACAUGGUGCCUAAUUUCUGCCUAAUUUAUGGUACAAAACCUUAUUUCUAGAAGGCUUUAUCUAUUCACACAUGGUGCCUAAUUUCUGCCUAAUUUCUGGUACAAAACCUUUUGGUUUCAACUAAGUUCUAAACCUUUCCUAGCCCUAUAAAUAAGGCUUUGCAGCAAGGCACUAAGGGGGAUCACUCAUUCACCCAAUUUUCGUCCAUUCAUCCAGCCACACCACUCUACACAUCCUAAAAUCCUAGAAACACAAUUCCAGCCACUUUUACCACCUUUGCCGUAACCUUCCAUCCAAGCAACCAUUCAACCACCAUAACCACCUUGUGCCGCCACCAUUGAAGGAGAGGAGGAGUAGUGCCGUGCAGUCCAAAGGAAGGAAGAAACCUUGCACAUGCAAUCUGCAACUAUUGGAGUGUUUGGAGUUCUUUCUUCUCUUGGUUUUGUUUUCAUGUUUAAUUUAACUUGCUGUUCAAUUAUGUUAAACAUGUGGAACUAAUUUCUUUUUAGUUAGAGGCGAAUUUGAAGCCAUGGACAUAUGUUGGUUAUGAUUUGAUUUACUCCAGUUAUGAAUUCAUGAGCUUUAGAUGUGGUUUACUUUUCUGUUUUGAUUAAGAACUUGUUUAUGUAUGUGGGUUGAGGGUCGACACUUAAUUUGCAUGCCUAAACUUGAUGCUAGGAUAUAAGGGAAUUUCACCUAAUCGUUAUGAACUUAUAUUCAUGAGUAGUAAAGAUCGCUAGUCACGAUUGUGUUUAAGUAAACCCUAGGCUGGAUUAACAUGCGUAUUCCAUAGUUAUGAAUGCCUAGUCGAUGUUUAUGAUUUCCGUUGAACUUAAUGAUCUUUGUUGAAUGUCUCUAUCAUGCGUAUUCCAUAGUUAGGGACUCUGAUGAGGAAUAAUUUGGUUGUAAUGCGUAUCCCAUUCAAUCCAAUGAAUCUAGUGAAAUCUGAAAGUUAAUUUAAGCGGACCUAAUUAACUUGGAGCAUUGUCAUUCAUCGUUUGUUGAAGUCAUAACUGGGAAUCAAAUUAUAUGCAUCUGUUCAUUUGUGGAUAAGGAACCCUCUAACUAGUUUCUCAUCAUUCUAUUUCAUCACAAUCUGUUUUGUUUGAAGUUUGUUUACAAGUCUCUGUUUUAAAUUCAAUUUCGUCAAAAUCAAUCCCCCAUUUAUUUUGAAAUGUUAGAAUAGUUAGAAAUCAAGUUAAUUUGUGUUUUUAAGUGUCUUGAGUCAAGUUAUAACAUAUUUUCGUCCAAACUAGUGUUUGUGCUCAAAACUGCCCAGAAAGUGAUUUUAAGGCAGUUUUGAGUGUUUCUGUGUUGUUUUGAGUCUUUUGGUUUGUUUAAGUGUUUUAAACCCUAGUUUUGCAUUCUUUGAGUCUAGUUUAGUGUUCUAAAUUAUGUUUUUACGUUUUUGAGUCAGUUUCACAUUGAUUAGCAUCCCUAGUUAAUCCCCGGUCUAGAACGAUCCCUACUUGCAUCAUUACUACAAUUGUCAUCAAUAGGGUUUAAUUUGUGUGUCAAGUAAUUCUCACAUCAACCUUGAAGAAAAAUAAGAUAUAUCCUUAAUUUCAUUAAUACCAUUAAAGAAGGAAUCAAAUUAUCAAAUUACCCAUUCAACCGUAAAAUAUAUAGUCAUGCACUAUAGGAACAUAUAUAGUAUCCCACAUGCCUAUAUGUAUAACCUAUUUACAUGCCUUAUGCAAACCUAUAUGAUAAACAUGAAAAAGAAAAGCUAAAAGAACAAAAUAGUUUGCAAG